rnacentral:rRNA from 1 species
ACAAGCCGCGGAGCGUGUGGUUUAAUUCGAUGCUACACGAAGAACCUUACCAGGGUUUGACAUGCAAGUGGUAGGAAACCGAAAGGUGACCGACCCUUCGGGAGCUUGCACAGGUGCUGCAUGGCUGUCGUCAGCUCGUGUCGUGAGAUGUUCGGUUAAGUCCGCUAACGAGCGCAACCCUCGCUGUGUGUUAUAUGUGUCACACGGGACUGCCGGUCUUAAGCCGGAGGAAGGUGGGGAUGAUGUCAAGUCAGCAUGGCCUUUAUAUCCUGGGCUACACACACGCUACAAUGGCCAGCACAGUAGGUUGCUAAGCCGCGAGGUGGAGCCAAUCCAUAAAGCUGGUCUCAGUUCAGAUUGCAGGCUGCAACCCGCCUGCAUGAAGAUGGAGUUGCUAGUAACCGCAGGUCAGCUAUACUGCGGUGAAUACGUUCCCGGGGCUU